CCGAAUGGAAGGGAGCCCCUGCUGGUUUGGGCUGGCCCUCUGUCUGGGCUGAUGGCUGAGGCCAAGGCAGGCCCAUGACUUCAGGGGCCUUUGCAGUGAGCCGUGCAGGGCCGGGUUGGCACUUGGAGCUUCCGUGUCCUUCAGGUCCGUGCCCUCUCUACCACGGGGCUGCCUGUGUCCAAAAGAGCUGGACGGAGGAGGCAGAAGAAACUGCUCAUAAAGCAAGGAAUCAUCUCAUAAUCAGAUGAACUACGACCAACCUAUGUUCUCGACGCUGGCCUUUGGAUCUAGGACUCCCCACAGGAUCCAGCGCCACCUUGUCUGAGACGCGUAACUUGACCACAUCGGCGAAGCCCUUCAUCCCAAACAAGGCCACACUCUCACCAGUUCUGGGGUGGCCCCACGUGGGCACCUCCGCACCCACCACAGGCUGGGAGGAGAGGGCUGCGGGGCGGGACCCAGCCUCCAGGGGUCAGUCCUCUUCCCCAAGACACCCCGCCGCCCCGCCGCCCCUGCUGCCCCCCAAGCCUCUAAGGGAGCAUCCCCCCCAUGACCUGCUUUCCUGCAAAAUUAGCAAACCCGGCAGACGCGCUUUCUCUCCGUGGCCCCACGAGUCCAGCUCUCCCGUCUGGGUGGACACGUGUGUGCUCUAGGCCAAGGGUCGGACCCAGGACACGAUCAGACGCAGGUUUGAAUCCUGCCGCACACACGAACCCGCUGUGUCCAUGGUCAAAGCUUUAACUUCCAGGUGGUCUUUCUCUCCCCGUCUACAAAAUGGCGACAUGAAGACCCCUGCCCUUUUGGCUUCAGAAAUAGUUUCUGGAACCCGUUUCCUCCCCACCCCCUCCCAGCAAUUUCUCUCCACUAAGAACAGACUUAAUUCUUUACAUUUAAU